UUUUCUUUUGAUUUCUGCUGUUAUUAUUUGGGAAUUUAUUUGUCAAUCAUUAUAGUCUUUUCCACGAUUUUGUUUCAUUGCUCUUGAUCUCUCUUUAUUUGGUUAUUUUUUUCAUUUUAUUCUUGAUACCAAAUAGAUAUGCUAGGAAACUUGAAAAAAAUGUGCAGGCCUUUUCAAAGGGCCUUAUGGUGGAGAAGUGUUGGCAAAGAGAAUGUUAUGCUGGAUUCUUGCUGUAGAAGACAUGGUCAAUGUUGGUGCAGAGACUGCGGCUGCUCUCAAGGCACAUCUUUUUGAUCUAAUAAUUUUAUUUUUUAUCAUUUAUUUAAUUGAGUAUUCAAAUCAAAUUUGUAUGACCUUUCACUUAAGCUAUUUAACUGUUCAUUAUUUUUAGACAGAACAGAUAGGUUGGAUUGCUAUGAUUUGGACUCCAUCCAUUUUUCAAUGAGGAAAGCUUCUAAAUCGGUAAAGGAACUUGAUAGACAGCUAUAGUUCUUAAAUAUUUCCAGCUUUGUAUACCAUGCUGAACUCUAACUUGUGCAGUUGAAAUGUGUUAUUGGCUGAUACGUUCUUAUCUUUAAGUUGCAACUGACCUCUGUAUUGUGAUCUUGCUCUCCAUUAUUGUCCUUGGAUUUAUAGCAAUCAUCAUUGUAAAGGUGGACAUUAAUUUGAUGCCCAUUAUUCUUGUUGUAUUUUCAUCACUAAGUGUGAUUCUUAACCAUGCUCCAUUUCAGCUUAAUCAGUGUGUGUAAAACUAUCCCAAUUAAAAUGAAAUAGACUAUUACUGCA